rnacentral:rRNA from 1 species
GACGAACGCUGGCGGCGUGCCUAAUACAUGCAAGUCGAACGCAGUGGGGACGGGUGAGUAACACGUGGGUAACCUCCCAUCAGAGGGGAUAACACUUGGAAACAGGUGCUAAACCGAUAUUGAUGGCUGGACCCGCGGUGCAUUAGCGAGUUGGUGAGGUAACGGCUCACCAAGGCCACGAUGCAGAGCGGACUGGAGAGGGGGAUCGGCCACACUGGAACUGAGACACGGCCCAGACGCCUACGGGAGGCAGCAGUAGGGAAUCUUCGGCAAUGGACGAAAGUCUGACCGAGCAACGCCGCGUGAGUGAAGAAGGUUUUCGGAUCGUAAAACUCUGUUGUUAGAGAAGCGGUAUCUAACCAGAAAGCCACGGCUAACUACGUGCCAGCAGCCGCGGUAAUUC